rnacentral:rRNA from 1 species
AGUUUGAUCCUGGCUCAGAUUGAACGCUGGCGGCAUGCGUAACACAUGCAAGUCGAACGGUGUUUGGUGCUUGCACCAGACAUAGUGGCGGACGGGUGAGUAAUGCGUAGGAAUCUGUCUUAGAGAGGGGGACAACCCGAGGAAACUUGGGCUAAAACCGCAUAUUCUCGAGAGAGGAAAGCAGGGGACCGGAAACGGCCUUGUGCUCUAAGGUGAGCCUACGUCGGAUUAGCUAGUUGGUAGGGUAAAAGCCUACCAAGGCGAUGAUCUGUAGCUGGUCUGAGAGGACGGACAGCCACACUGGGACUGAGACACGGCCCAGACUCCUACGGGAGGCAGCAGUGGGGAAUAUUGGACAAUGGGGGGAACCCUGAUCCAGCGAUGCCGCGUGUGUGAAGAAGGCCUGCGGGUUGUAAAGCACUUUCAGUGGGAAAGAGAAGCGUCUUGUGAAUAAUGGGACGUGGAGACGUUACUCACAGAAGAAGCACCGGCUAACUCUGUG